ACUCCUUCCCUGCCUUUCCUACCUAUCACUCUCGUGCUGAAAGUUGGAGCUCCUUACCCAAAGACUGGGCGGAAAGGGUGACCGCCCUGGACCCCUGCCCGACUUCCCGUUAGGCCAAGCCGCUGUCCUGAAAGGGGAUCGUGUCCAGGCCGGCUUCCUGGAGACACACCUGCGCCUGCACACACCCACCGCGGUCGCGUCACCAGUGCCGCGGCCACGUGGACGAAGACCAAAGUCUGGAGGGAAUUCCCUCAGCCACAAAGCGAUGGGAAAGCGGGACCCGGUGGAGACCAGAGUCUUGCUAUGCUUUCCAGGCUGGUUUUGAACUCCUAGCCUCAAGCGAUUUUCCUGCCUCAGCUUCCCAAAGUGCUGGGAUUACAGGCACAAGCCACUGCACCCGGCCCUGUUGUUGUUAAGAAAAUUACAAGUUAAAUCUUGUACCAGUGAACAAGGUUUGUAUAGAUGAUUUUAUUGUCUUGAAAUUUUAUUUUAUCUCACUUUAAAAAAAUAGAAGCAUAUUAGAAUAUACUUUGUUCUAUACCCAAAUCUUGUGUUAAACUCUUUAAAAAUGUCUUUUCAGUGUUUGGUAAAAGCUGCAAUGAGUCGUACAGAUGUAUAUUUCACAUUAAUUAUUAAUAAUUAUAAUUUAGAAAUGUUAAUUACAGUCAUUUAAAGGAACUUCAACAAACUAAUGGUUAUUGAAGUUACAUUAAGAAUAUCUAUAAUCAUGAAGAGUAGUGGCCUAAUACAGUAAUGAAAGACAGAUCUUUAAAUUUAAAAAGGAAAAAUGUGAUUGUGUGUUUUCGUACGUUAUUAAGUUGUAGACAAUAUACCAAAACAUACAUCAGAGGACAUUCACUUAUGGCCAUAGAUAGUAGCUAAUGCCAGACACAUCCUCCCACUAGAAACAACUAGAAAUACACAAGAUAACUGAUUCUAGACAUUUGACAACAAACAUUGCAGGGCAGUGAUACUUGAGAGAAAGGAAACACAAUGUGAUCUGCACGUCCUCUUCAGCUUUCUGUCUGGGGACACCAAGUAGACUAAAAGGAAGUGGAAUCCAAGGAAGUAUGGAAGUCUUGCUGAGCUGAAGAAAUCUAGAUAAAAGUUUAGAGUAGUUGUCAUCCCUGAAAUUUGUAAGACAGAAUACCACAAAGAAAGGAGUAUGCAGAAGAAGAGGACAAAGAAGAUUUCACAAGCAUUCCUGUGUAGCCCAUGUGCAGGAUAGGACUUAAUGAGGCCUAGCAGAGAAUGGUUGCUAUGAACAAGAGAACUGGGCCAAGAUAUCAUAGACUGUGCAGUACUGCAAACACUGGAAUACUGUCCCAGCCUAAAUGGAGAGACCUUACUAAGCACCUCAUCCAUUCAAUUGAAAUUCUAAAGAGGAUAGACCUUAGGAGUAAAUACCAUGUCCCAGACAAAGGGCCAUGUCUCAGGACUAAGGAUAAAACUGACAUAGAAUAAAUAAUAAUAAUACAUAACAAAACAAAGCCUAGCAAGAUCAAGAGGAUUUUUUAGUAGUUUAAUAGCCUGAUAGAAUAAACCUCAACACCAUUUAAAAGAAGAUAACAUAAUCCAGACUCUCUGUAACUCCUUUAUAACAAUAUUCAACAGGAGGUUAAAAAAUAUUGUACCUGUAAAGAAGCAGAAAUAUGUGACUCAUAAUCAAAAUAAGACAUGGUCAAUAGAAGCAGAAUCCAAGAUGACCCAAAUGUUGGAAUUAGCAGAUGAGGUCUUUAAAACAGCUAUUAUAAAUAUAUGUAAGGAUGCAUGGGAAAAGAUGAAUAUGUGAUUAAACAGAUGAGAAUGAUCAGCAAAGAAAUAAACCAAAUGGAUAUAUUAGAAAUAAAAAGCAAAUAUCUGAAAUGUAAAAUUUAUUCGAUGGUUAGAGCAGUUUGGAGAUGGCAAAAGGAUGGGUGAAUUAUCUCUAACAGAGAGCAAUAGAAAUUAUAUAAUUUAAUAACAGAAAGGAAAAGAUUGGAAAAAAUAUAUAAACAGCCUCAGUGAACUCUGGAACAACCCUGCAAAGUUAGUAUAUAUAUAAUUGGAGUCCUAAGGCUAAGCAUGGUGGCUCAUACCUGUAAUCCCAACACUUUGGGAGGCUGAGGCAGGAGUUCAAGACCAGCCUGAGCAACACAGUGAGACCCCCAUCUCUACCAAAAAAAAAAAAAAGCUGGGCAUGGUGGCACAUGUCUAUAGUCCUAGCUACUUGGGAGGCUGAGGUGGGAGGAUCACUUAAGCCUUGAAGUAAAGGCUGCAGUGAGCUCUGAUUGUACCACUGUGCUCCAGCCCGUGCUGGACAGAGUGAGACCCUAUCUCUAAAGUAAAAGAUAAUAAUAAUUAGAGUCUCAGUAAAAGAAAGGAAAAAGAAAAUGGGGUAGAGUGAAAUUUUUAAAAAAAUUCUCUAAUUUGGUGAAAAACAUCAGCCUACAGAUUGAAGAAUCAACAAACUCCAAGCAGAAUAAAUACAAAAAAUAAAAUAAAGAAAGAAAACACACCAGCUACACUGUAGUCAAAAGGUUAAAAACCAAAAAUAUAGAAUAAAUGUUGAAACAGAAAAAAAAGUCAAUGACAUAAGGGGAACAAUGCUAUGAAUCACAGUUGACUUCUUACUAGAAACAGUGGAGGCCAAAAGAAAUGGAAUGAUGCCAUUAAAGUACUGAAAGAAUAGAGCAACCCAGCUUUUUUUUUUUUUUAAGACCUUGUUUGGCUCAGUCGCCUAGACUGGAGUGAAGUGAUGCAGUCACAGCUCACUGCAGCCUCAACCUCCUAAGCUCAAGUGAUCCUCUCACCUCAGCCUCCCAAUUAGCUAGGACUACGAGUGUAUGCCACUAUGUCCAACUAAUUUUUUUUUUUUUUAGAGAUGGGGUCUCAGCUACGUUGCCCAAACUGUUCUUGAACUCCUGGGUUCAAGCAAUCCUCCUGCCUUAGCCUUCCAAAGUGCUGGGAUUACAAGUGUGAGCCACCACACCUGGCCAGAAUUCUAACAUUUUCUCAAAAAUGAAAACAAAAAAGACAUUUUCUGAUAAACAAAUGCUGGGAGGAUUCAUUGUAAACUAUAUUAAAUACUAAUAGAAGAAUUGGGGGCGGUGGUGAUGGAAAAUGAUAGCACAGGGAAAUCUAAACUACAGAAAGUAAUAAAUAGCACCAGAAAUGGUAAGUAGACGUGUAAAUAUAAAGAACUUUUUUCUUCUCAUUUUUUUAAAACAGACUAUUUAAAGACAAAUAUAUUGUAGGACUCUCAAUUCAUGUAGAAGUAAAAUACAUGACAGCAAUAACAAAAAAGGACAGAGGGUUUUGUUUGUGUGUGUGUGUGUGUGUUUAUUUUAAGCAAUGCUUUUGGAGAAAGAAAAAAAGGACAGAGUUAACAAAAUUGUACUAUUGUAAGAUUCUUACAUUUCACAUGAAGUAGUAUAAUAUUAACUCUAAACAGACUGUUAAGGUUGUGCUGACUACUAUGGUAGUCAGUAGCCACAAGUGACUAAAUUUAAACUUAAAUUAAUUAAAAAUAAAUAAAAUUUAAAUUUCAGUCUUCAGUUGUACUAGCCAUAUUUCAAGGUAUCAACAGUCACAGGUAGCCAGUGUCUACCAUAUUGGAAAGACAUAGAACAUUUUCACUACUAAAGAACAUUUAGUUGGAGAAUGCUGCCCUAUAGCAACCAUAAAAAAAAAAAAAUACAGACAUAUAACUUUAAAAUCAAUAAAUGAAUUAGAAUACUAAGAAUAUUGUAUAAACCAAAAUAAAGCCAUGAAGGAGGAAAUGAGAAACAAACAAAAAAUGAGACAAGCAGAAAACAAAUAGCAAGGUGAUAGACUUAAAUCCUACCAAAUCAAUAAUUAUAUUAAAUAUAAAUGAACUAAACAGUCCAAAGAAAAGAAAAAGAUUGCAAGGAUGAAUAAAAAGCAAGAUUCAAGUAAGAGCUUUGGCAUGAGAUGCAAUGCAUUUUAAAGAUCCAGAUAGGUUGAAAGUAAAAGGAAGGGAAAACAUAGACCAAGCAAAUCUAAGAAACCUGGUAUUGAUAUACUAUUAUUAUACAAAACAAACUUCAAGUCAAAAAGAAUUAUCAAAGUUGAAGAGUGACAUUCCUUAAUGAAAAAUGGUCAUUUCAUCAUGAAGACAUAAAAAAUAUAAAUGUUUAUGUGACUAAAAAGCUUCAAGUAUAAGAAGCAAGAUAUGAAAAUUAAAGGAACAGGCCCAGCACAGUGGCUCAUGCCUAUAAUCCCAGAACUUUGGGAGGCCAAGGUGGGAGGAAUGCUCAAGCCCAGGAGUUCGAGACUAGCCUGGGCAACAUAGUGAGAUCCUGUCUCUACAAAAAAAUUUUAAAAUUAGGUGGGCAUGGUGAUAGACAUCUGUAGCUGUAGCAUCUGUAGCUACUCGAGAGGCUGGGGCAGGAGGAUUGUUUGAACUCAGGAGGUCAAGGCUGCAAUGAGCUGUGAUCAGAUCAUGCCACUGCACUCCAGCCUGGAUGACAGAGUGAGACCCUGUCUCAAAAAAAAAAAAAAAAAAUUGAAGGAACAAAUAUACAAAUCUGUAAUCACAGUUGAACAUUUUUAAUUCACCUACAUGUACUUUGUAGAACUAGACAUAGAUAUGUGAAUAUAAAUGAUUUGAACACUAUCAACCAACUUAACCUAAUUGAUAAAUAGAGAAUACUUCACCUAGUAUCUGCAGAAUAAACAACGAUUUUCAAGUGCACAUGGACUAGUUACCAAGAUAGAUCUCGUGCUGAAAUAUAAAAUGUGGCUUAAUAAAUUUCAAAGGAUUGAAAAAUACAGAAUAUGCUCUCUAAACAUAACAGAAUGAAAUUAGAAAUCAAUAACAAUAAGAUAUCUUAAAACUCCCAAAUAUUUGGAAGUCCCACAACAUAGUUCUAAAUAACUGAGUUAAAGAAGAAAUCACAGUAAAUUUAAAAGAUAUUUUAGCCUGAAUAAUAAUUUUAAAAAUCAAAAUUUGUGGAUGUUCCAUAGACAGCAGGUCUAUGCAAACCUACCCCCCAAAAUUAAGGUAGCUGAGAUGUUGAAGAAAGAGGCUGACAAAUCCGUUUUCUCAGAAAGAAACCUUUAAUAGGAACUUAGGAACAGAAGCCAUGUCUAGGGCAGCCAUGAGAUGAGAUGGUGGAUCCCCACACUUUCCCCCAACCCGGACCCAGGGCUUAUAUGCCAUAAAGAAAGGCAUGUAAGUCCUGCUUCAGAAGGACUGUGUAAAACAACUGAAGUGGACCCCUCUGGGAAAGGCAAGAAUGCUAUAUGCUUCACAGCCUAUAAUUUGCUUAAGGCAGGAUUUAUGGUAAGUAUUUGCUUACAUUUUAUGCCACAGAUCACAUAGUUAUUAAUAGAAUAAUAAGGAAAUAUUGUGCAUAACAUUAUGCCAAUAAAUUCAACAACUUAGAUAAAUUGGACACAUUUCUUGAAAAAUACAACAUGUAAAAAUCUGACACAAGAAGAAACAGAAAAUCUGAAUAGCCCUGUCUCUGUUAAAGAAAUAGAACAGGGAAAACUCUGUAGUGAUAGAAACUAGGUCAGUGGUUGCCUAUGUAGAAUGUCAACUGAAAGAGAACAUGAGAGAACUCUUGGGAAUGAUGAAAAAAAUUCUAUAUCAUAAACUUUUUGUGGUAGUUACAAGGGUGUAUCAUUUGGUAAAUCCAUAAAAUUUUGCCUUUAAGAUAUGUACUUCUUUUUCAGACAGGAUCUCAUUCUGUCACCAAGGCUGGAAUGCAAUGGUGCAAUCACAGCUCACUGCAGCCUUGAACUCCCAGACUCCAGUGAUCCUCCCACCUCAGCCUCCUGAGUAGCUGGGACUACAGGCACACACUACCACACCCAGCUAAUUUUGUAUUUUUUGUAGAGAGAAGGUCUCACCAUGUUGACCAGGCUGGUCUCCAAUUCCUGAGCUCAAGCAAUCCUCCUGCCUUAGCCUCCCAAAGUUUUGGGAUUAUAGGCAUGAGCCUCAGUGCCUGAACAGAUGUGUACAUUUCACUGUAUGCACACGUUACCUUGAGCAUAUAAGUUGCAUGCCAAAAACUAUGACAUAAACACAAAAUGUGAAACAUUCUGACAUUUUAAAUCUUAAAUAUAAUUGAAGUAAAAAAGUCCCCUGAGAUAUCUUAGGUACGAUAUAUGCUAAAAUGCAAAACAUAUCCUACAACUUUAUUUGAAAAAUGUUUAUUUUCCUUCUGAAUAAAAGUUCCAAAGUUCAAACCCAAUCAUAUUUAUUUCAGUGAUGAUAAUAAUGACUGUACUGAUUCAUCCUUCCAGAUUUAGCUUGUGAACCUUCUUCAGUGUAAUUUUUCUGGAACCACCAUGAUGAAGUAGAGUCAUUGUCUGGGGUAAAUACCUGAGGUUCCUUCUCUCAGCCAGGAAAUCGAGGACAUGGACACACGAGAAGUGGAUUUAAGAGCAGAAGUUUAAUAGGCGAAAGAAAGAGAAAAGAGAAUCUCUCUCCUGCAGAGAGAGCGGGGCGCCUGAGUGGGUCUUCCGGUCCCAUGGUGAAGUACACAGGUUUUAUAGACUGGCUUGAGGAGGUGGUGUCUGAUUUACAUAGGGCCCAAAGAUCGGUUGGACCAGGUGUGAUGUUUACAUAACAGGAGAAGAAGCUGACCACCCCACCCUAAUCUUUUAUUCUGCAAAUGGAUUUUCUACCUUGCCAGUGCCACGUUUUCUGUUCUUUACCAUUCACAAGGUUGACAAAAGGGAAGAUGGAACUGCCAUGCUGAACAUGCCUAGCCCCCAGGUAGCCUUUUCCUAUUGUCACAGCUGCCAGCCAUUCACCCGUGCAAGCUUGCAGCUUGCUUAUCAGUCUGCAGCUCGAUUUUUCAGCCUGCUUUUGUUAGAAAAGGAAGGAUUUGGGGGCUACUUUUCAUUAAAAGGAAAACCUUACCAAGGACUUCCUUACCCUCACUAUCUGCCUAAAUAUUUCUCUUUAACUCCUAUAUCAAUGACGAUUUAAAUUCUCCCUCUGUUCCCUUGUCUCCCAGUAUACAUCUCCCUUACAGCACCUGUAUACUGUGUUCUGAUGGUCUAAAUAUAGUUAUUCUCCUCUACCCCACAUUGUGAUCUUUGAACAUAAGACUGUGCUUUUAUCUCAUUUUCCCAGUGCCUGUCAUAUUGCCAGGCUUAGCAGGUGCUCAAUAAAUUCUGUUUCAUCAAGUGCUUGAAUGAUAGUCAUAUGGAGAUUCUUUCAGUCAGAAUAUACUAUUGGUCUUGAGAAGAUGAUUUAAACAUUUUUUCCUUUGAAUUUGAUUCCCUUCCUGUUACAUGUUAUCUAAGAAAACAUAUCCUACAGAAGUAUUCCAAAACCCGAGAAAGAAAACACACAACAAAACAAAAAGAUUAGAUAGCAGAUACUGAAUGAAAUGCUCAAAAAUGCUCCAGUUCAAUAUUAAAUGAAAAAUAGAAAAGAGAAAGGAAAACUAUAUUAUGAGAUAAAGUGAAGUAGAGAAAUGAGACUUUGGACAUACACUCACAGGCUUUGGAUUAUAAGAGAAAGAAAAACUUACAUAUGGGGAAAGGAUCUUUGCAAUGGAAUUACUUCCCAAAAGGUGAGACAGUAUUCAAACUGAUGAAAAAUGUUAUUUGUCCUUUGAAAUGUUUAUUUUAAAAUAGGUUUUAUAAUAAUGCAUAGGUUUAUGAUCACAUUUUCUUAUAUCAAAUAACAAUACAGUUUGUUAACUUCUGUAGCUAUGUUCUAAUUGCAGAGCUCUAGUUUGAUUUUAGGUUGGGAGGGUGUAUUCAAAAAUAUAUAAGCUGAACUGAGAGGCUUUGCUUGUCUCAAAAAAAGGUCUCAUGGGAGAUGAAAGUAGAGUUGAAAACCUGAAAGGCAAAAGGUUGCAAGUUUACUGCAAGGUUUUGAGACAAGGAUGCUGUGGUACUAUUACAGUAGAUAGCUAAUCAGGUAUGAGCAGGGCAGAAGAGGGCUCCUCCUGCCCCACCAGGAAUGUCAGGCCAACAUCAAGUGAUGGUCAGGUGGUUGUUACACUGUUUCUCUAAAAUAAUAAUUGGUCACAGGUGGCCCCAGGGGAAGGCAGUCUCCCAGUAGAAAAAACCUGAAAGUUGUGAUCCGCAGCUUCCCGAUAAGAUCUCAGGAGUUGGGCGAGUGGGCUCAAGCAUGUGCAUUAGGAGGCAACAUGGCAGACUUUAACUGGUAUAUAUGACCUUCUAGGAACUUUUGACUGGUAAGCCCAACCCAAGGGAAGAAUCAAGGGAGAAGUGACACCAGACCCCAGAAGCAUGCCAACAUAUAAAACCCCAAGUCAAAAGGUAAAACCAUGCACGUGAUCUCUCAGGUCGCCCACUUGGCCUUCUUCCAAGUGUACUUCCUUUCAUUCUUGCUAUAAAGCUUUUUAAUAAACUUUCACUCCUCCUCUAAAACUUGCCUUGCACUAUCUUUCUGCUUUAUGCCCCUUGGUCAAAUUCUUUCUUCUGAGGAGGCAAGAAUUGAGGUUGCUGCAGACCCAGAGGGAUUCACCGCUGGUAACAGUAAAAAGCAGGAAAAAAAGAGUUUUGGUAAAAACAAAAACAAAAACAAAAAAACUACCCUCUUACUCUCAGAUAUCUACGUACUGAAACAGGGCCACAUGACAAAGUUUUAUUAAAUAGAUACUAGUAUCCUCAAUUAAAAUAAUGAAAAUCUGUUUCACAUUUCUAGAGUUAAGGCUAGCACCUCAGAUAAUUUGUAAUUUGUAAAUGAAUAUGUAUCUUAUUUGUUUUCUCUAUCAUGUUGUAGAUUAGGGAUCGUGAUGUGGAGCUGCACUUCCUGGUUCCAAAUCCUGGCUCUUCCCCUCAUCCCUGGGUAAGUUGAGGGAUGAGAGCAAGAGAAGGUUGAUCCUGACUCAGAUCUCUGCAUGGGGCAUGUCACUGAUGACGGCGGCAUUCCCUGAGAGAGGGAACACUAAGUUUGAAGUUGGGCAUAGUGAGCACUAUUUUGGAUGAGUUAAGUUUAGAAGUGCCUGAAGACAUCCAAGUGGAAGAAGUGGCUGCAUGGACUGAAGAUACAGACUGGGAAACGUUAACACCAUCAAGGAACUGGAGUCCUGGGCACAGAAUAUGCUGCAAAGGGAGAAGAAGGAAGACGUGUGGUAUGGAAUCACCUAUGGAUAAGGUUGAGAACCAUGGGCUAGAUGCUAUGGAGACCAACGUAUCACUUACUAGGCUUUACUUUGUGCCAGGCACUGGAUUCGGCAUUACCCCAUUUAAGCCUCACUACCAUCCUUCAUGUUACUAUUCCACGUUGCCGCUCAGGAGAAACAAAAUUUUUUUAUUAAAUUCAAGUAACCUGAGGUCCCAUAUUUAGUAAGAGGCAGAGGAGUUAGAUGUGUCAAUAGCUAAAUUACAUGGCUGUGUCCUCUAGCUGGCCAGGGACUGACAACAUCAGUAUCACCUGGUGACUCUCCCAGGGGAGAUGUUUUUAAAAAUCUUUUCCAGUAAUUCUGUGCAACAUGGCAAUCUGAAACCAGUCUUUCAGACCUGGAAGUUCUUUAGAGACCACAGGACUCUCUUUGAUAUUUUUUCUUUUGAAUUUUUUUAAAAUACAGAAUCCUUUUUCAUGUUCUCUGUUUAUAAAACAACUGCAUGUCAAUUACAUUAUUUUUUAGAAGAUAGGUACAAGAGCCAGGCGUGGUGGCUCAUGGCUGUAAUCACAACACUUUGGGAGGUCGAGGCAGGUGGAUCAUUUGAGGCUGGAAGUUCGAGACCAGCCUGGCCAACAUGGCAAAACCUGUCUCUACUAAAAAUAUAAAAAAUUAGCCUGGAGUAGUGGUGCAUGUCCCAGCUACUCGGGAGGCUGAGGCAUGAAAAUCGCUUGAACCCGGGAGGUGCAGGUUGCAGUGAGCCAAGAUCGCACCACUGCACUCCAGCCUGGGCAACAGAGCAAGACUGUGUCUUGACAGCAACAAAAAAAGAAGAUAGGUAUAGGAAUUAAAAAGAAAGCAAAUAAUUACUGGUAGCCUGACCACUAAGAGAUAUAUACUGAUAUUUUUUUUGCGGGGGGUGCAUCUCCUUGCAGGCCUUUUUGUAUGUUUAUGUUCAAACACAUUUGUAACAACAAUGAAUAAAAAACGCAUAAUAUUCAAUGACUU
rnacentral:lncRNA from 10 species